AAGUCGUAACAAGGUAACCGUAGGUGAACCUGCGGUUGGAUCAUUACUAAAUUUAAAAAAUUUUAUCGUUUGUUCAAAAUCUUAAGGUUGAGAUACUGUAUAAACUUUUUACGGUAUUUCCUUUAUAUAGAACACGGUAAAAUUUUUUUACCCAAUGUGAACUUUUACUGUAUUUCGAGUUUUUUUUAAAAAAGUGCCUAAAAAACACUUUUUUUUGCGAACUCGGUAUAAUUUUUAAACCCAAUUCUAUAAAAUUUUGUCUGAUUUUUUUUUUUACUGAACCAAGUAAAUCCAAAAACAACUUUUGACAACGGAUCUCUUGGCUCUC
rnacentral:misc_RNA from 1 species